GUUUUGUUGUUUUUGCUUUUUUAGCGCUAUAAGAUCGAUAUUAAAGACAUGGUUUUCACCCCUCUUCAUCAACGCAAAUAAGUUCUCUCUUCUUUUUGGACCCCUGUUUUAUACCACAAUGUAUGUCAUUGAAAGUGCCCGACAGAGACCUCCUAAAAGGAAAUACCUGUCUAGUGGAAGGUAUGAAUACUUGAUUGAUAUCU
rnacentral:lncRNA from 1 species